AUUCCAGAGGUGAUAUGACACUGUCCAUAUCACUCCGGCAGCAAGCGAAGGUGUCAUUGACACCCGUGGUAUAGUCCCCCCGGCUAUGCCACGAUCUUUUUUU
rnacentral:ncRNA from 1 species